CUCUGAAACUUCCUCCCUGUCCAGUGUUAUCUACCUUGGAACGAUUGUCUCAUUUAGAGGGACUCUCUAACCUGAGUACACAUUUGAAACAUCUGAGGGCUUUGAAACAUACCUGCUCCUGGACCACCUGCUGAACCAAUUAAAUCAGAAUUUCUGUUGUGAAGAUCUCCACGUGAGUUUAAGCUUUCCUGCUCAACUGUUAGUUCCAUGAAGGCAACAGCCAUGCCUGCUUCGUUCACUGAAAUAUCUUCGUUUCCUAACACACAGAAAGUCAUCAUUUUUUGACGGAUGAAAGAAUGGAUGAAUGCCUAGUCUUGGAGACAUCUACUUGCAAUAAAGGUUAGAUGAAGGAAAUGGAUGCCAGUGGGAGAUUUGUGGAUCUAUUUCACCAGAUUUCACUCUGCUGACUCAGCAAAAUGGUCCCCGAAGAAAGUGAAGAAACAGAGGCAAAGGGAGCAUAAGCAAUUUUCCAAAGGCCAUACAACAUGUAAGUGGCUGAGCCAAGACUGAAAUCACCAGGUUCUUAACCACUAGGCCAUAUUGCAUUGGAGUGUUGCCUCCUGGAGUAAGACUAGGCUAAAAGCUUCAUAGAAACCUAAAGGAGUUAGAGAAGGAAGAUCUCUCAAUGGAAAUGCUAAGAAGAGACACAAGGAAAGACACAUCACUAAGGAGAGACCCAAGGAAAAUGGCUCUAUGACUACAGUCCAUUUAAAGAAUGAGGGCGUUCCUUCUACCAAGUUACAGGUGGAGAUGUGUUUACCUGCUGGAUACCAAUGCUUCUAGCAUCAGGGAGAAGUUGAGCCCUGGAGGAAACAUUGCCUCUAAGUUUGUGUUCUGCUUUCCUGAAAUCCCACGUAACCCACAAUAGCUCUCAAAAGCUUCAAAAAAUAGUGAUGAAAAAGGUUAACUCUGAUGCUGUUCUGGAGCUGAAAGCAGAUUUUGACCUUGGAUAAACAUGCUGGAUUUUCGCUAUUGAAUGUAUUGGGCACAAUUCAAGGUACACAGUCAUUCCAGAAUGUACUUGAUAAAAAUAAGAAAUUUGCAUGUCUUAGAGGGACAUGGACACAUUCUUUAUACUCAGUUGCAGACUGGUUGUUUUAAAAAAUUAAGUGUUAACAAUUUGCUUACAGUUCUUGCUCAUAUAUGGUAACUCGAAAAUUGUCAGUGCUGAGUUUAGCUGGAAAACUCCUGGAAGUGUCAACCCAUUCUCAAAAUAAAUGGUUUUCACAGCUAUGAUUUUAUACAAAAAUUUUGAGCGGUUUAGAGUAUCAAUCCUUUUCAUUACCAUUGUGCUUCAUUUAAAUUAAAUUUUCAAGAGAGUUAAUGUGCCGACAUGCUAUUGUCAAACUGAACAACAACAAAAAACAAACCCCAGUCCCUUGAAUAGAAUUUAUUUCAAGAUUGUUUUGAAAUAGUUUUCCACUUUAAGGUAUGUGAACUACAGAAUUUGUAUUUUUAUUUAGUCAAAAACAUGUGGUUGUUGAAAUACUCCUUAAUUUAUUUUAUUGGCUAUAUUGAUUUUCUCACUUUAAAACAUCUAAUAACAAUUACUCACUGUUUGUGCUGGAACAUUAUGAACACCAACAAGGACAUUUCCCUUAAAAAGUAAUGGUGUCCUAAUGUAUGUUACAGGUUGAUGGGUGCAGCAAACCACCAUGGCACGUGUAUUCCU
rnacentral:lncRNA from 1 species